GGAAAGAUGAAAAGAACUUUGAAAAGAGAGUUAAACAGUACGUGAAAUUGUUGAAAGGGAAACGAUUGAAGUCAGUCGUGCUGGCGCGAAAUCAACCCUCUCAUCGGGAGAUCACAUGUUGUGGCGAGCCUCAAAACCGCCACAGCGUGUGAUCUCACGAUGAGGGGGAGCACUUUUGUGUCCGCUGGUUAACAUCAAUUUCGAACGUCAUAAAAAGGCUGGAGGGAUGUGGCUCCUUCGGGAGUGUUAUAACCUUUAGCGGAAUGUGGUGGUCGGGAUUGAGGAUUGCAACGAAUACCUUUAGGGCUGUUCCACCUGGCUUCUCUUUGGCAUCCUGGUGACGACAGCUUGCUGACGUUGUUAGGAUUCGCCUUUGAACAGGCUAGAGUGUGAGCAAAUUCGUUAAGGAUGUUAACGUAAUGGCUUUAAACGACCCGUCUUGAAACACGGACCA
rnacentral:rRNA from 1 species